AGCGAACGUUAGCGGCGGGCCUAACACAUGCAAGUCGAGCGAGAAAGGGGCUUCGGCCCUGAGUAAAGCGGCGGACGGGUGAGUAACACGUAGGUAAUCUUCCCUUGAGCGGGGGACAACGAUUCGAAAGGAUCGCUAAUACCGCAUACGUUCCCAGAGACUCCGGUCUUUGGGAGGAAAGCUAGGCAGCAAUGUCCGGCACUCGAGGAGGAGCCUGCGUCGCAUCAGCUAGUUGGUGGGGUAACGGCCUACCAAGGCGAAGACGCGUAGCUGGUCUGAGAGGAUGAUCAGCCACACUGGGGACUGAGACACGGCCCAGACUCCUACGGGAGGCAGCAGUGGGGAAUAUUGGACAAUGGCGCAAGCCUGAUCCAGCCACGCCGCGUGAGUGAUGAAGGCCUUCGGGUCGUAAAGCUCUGUGGGGAGGACGAACCGGCUGCACGUUCAUAGCGUGCAGCAUGACGGUACCUCCUUAGCAAGCACCGGCUAACUUCGUGCCAGCAGCCGCGGUAAUACGAAGGGUGCAAACGUUGCUCGGAAUUAUUGGGCGUAAGCGCACGUAGGCGGCUUAGCAAGUCGGAUGUGAAAUCCCUC
rnacentral:rRNA from 1 species